rnacentral:rRNA from 1 species
CCUACGGGAGGCUGCAGUGGGGAAUAUUGGACAAUGGGCGAAAGCCUGAUCCAGCCAUGCCGCGUGUGUGAAGAAGGCCUUCGGGUUGUAAAGCACUUUCAGUGGGGAAGAAAGCCUUGGGGCUAAUACCUUCGAGGAAGGACAUCACCCACAGAAGAAGCACCGGCUAACUCCGUGCCAGCAGCCGCGGUAAUACGGAGGGUGCGAGCGUUAAUCGGAAUUACUGGGCGUAAAGCGCGCGUAGGCGGUCUGAUAAGCCGGUUGUGAAAGCCCCGGGCUCAACCUGGGAACGGCAUCCGGAACUGUCAGGCUAGAGUGCAGUAGAGGAAGGUAGAAUUCCCUGUGUAGCGGUGAAAUGCGUAGAGAUCGGGAGGAAUACCAGUGGCGAAGGCGACCAUCUGGACUGACACUGACGCUGAGGUGCGAAAGCGUGGGUAGCAAACAGGAUUAGAUACCCCGGUAGUC